GCACAUGAAAGACAAGAAGUGCCCUUUAAAGGACAGGACAGCACUGAGCAAAUCGCCCAGACCUCCACCAGCAGGCAGAUUUCCAACCCCAGCUGCCAUCGUGGUGUGAGGAGGGCUCCACAGAGGUUGGUUCUUCACAAAAGGACCUAGAAUAGUCAAAACCACAGAGAAGGAUCUGACUGUGUGGCUCUGGAUGCUGCCUUGCCCUCCCGAGUGCUGGAAUGGCAGUGCUUUGAUACCAUGCCCAGCUACCAGUUCUUGUGAUUCUUAUGAUACCUCAUCAGGGUGGAGUUUGGUAGCUUUGGAAGCCUGUUCCAAGAGAGAAAACCAGCCCGUAUGCUUAUAGACUUAAACAGGAGCCUAGCAAAACUCUCUCCUGAGAUGCUUCAUCCAAGCAGCAAAUAGAAACAGAUGCAGAGACCCACAGACAAACAUCAGGUGGAGCUCAGAAACCCUGGUGUGAAGGCAGCAGAAUCAGUAACUCUCCACUGGCAACAAAGCUGGAGCUGUGUCCUUGCAGGAGGAGAGCGUUGGCUGGGAAGAAGCUGAACGCCCAUCCUCUUUAAUGUUAGGAAGCUCUGAGAAGCUCUGAGAAGAAGAGUCUUGGCCCAGAGCGUCAUAAUGAAGUUGCUUUGGCGAGCUUCCUUUUUAAGACCUUUGGCUGUGGGUGAGCUAUGUGACCUGGGAAAUGUAAGGCAAGCUGUUGUUGCAGAUGUAGCCCAGACACAGGGCACACAAAGCCGCUGAGCUUUUGUCCUUUCAGAAACUGCAACUCUAUGAUCCAACAAAAGCAGCUUUUAAGUUUAAGUCAUCUGACAGUUUAUGUGAGGUGACAAUAAGUUAAUUUAAUAGAUGUUUAUUUUCCUCAUUUUAGAGAUGUCAUUAAUUCUAGCUUAUGUUCGAAUUCAAUAUAAUAUUUGUGCAAAACACAAAUGAAUUGUAUAUACAGUUUGUGACAGUUAGUUUUAAUUGUCAACUUGACAUAACCCAGGAUCACAUGGGAAAGGAAUCUCAGUGAGGGAUGGUCUACAUCAGAUUGGCCUGUGGGCACAUCUAAGUGGGAUUGUCUUGAUUGCCUGUGUUUAUGUGAAAAUCCAGGCCAGCAUAAAUAGCACUGCUCCCGAGACAAGAGGUCAUGCAUAUGGAGCCAAGCACAGGCAAGCAAGCAAGCAAGCAAGCAAGCAAGCAAGCAAGCAAGCAAGCAAGCAUUCAUCUCUCUUCUUGACCAUGGUUGCAAUGUGAUAGACUAUAACCUGGAAGCAUAAGCCAGGGAGAUCCUUUUUCCCCUACUUUAAUUUUUGUCAGGAUAUGCUUAUCACAGCAACAGAAAUUGAACUAUAUUAGCAUUUAUUCCUGUUAAUCCUGUUGUCUACAAAAAAAAAAAAAAACCCAGUAAGAAUAAGUUAUCAAAUACUGGAUAGUGCAUUUUCAGGAAAUACAGGGUUGUGUUCCUUUUAGUCUCUGAUCACUUGUUCGCCAACAGACUAAUUCAUAACCUUGAUGUUUCUGUCUUUAUGUUCAGCGGUACUACUUAGUAUGUGUUGUUGAUUCAUUGGCAUGGGACUCACGGUCAACAGCAUUGUAGCUCAUGCCUUGGUGAAGGCUGCCUGACACACAUACCCUUCACUGGCACACCACAGCUUCCUUGUACUUAGAAAUAUGAAAUGGUACUUCAGCACCAGCUCAGGGGUCAUUUUACAUGUCAGAAUCCCCACACAAAAGUGCAAAAAUAAAAAAAAAAACUGUGGUGUCGUUAGAGUGUGAAAGAACACUUGUUCAUGGUGUGGAAACUGGAUUGUGAAGUCAGAAGUUUGCUUGGUUCAUCAAAUUUGAGGAUGUAUGGAUGGGUCAUUUCCUGUCUCUAUGGACACAGGGAGGAUUGAUUUGCAGGCUACAAAUCCUUUUGACAGAUGGGCAAACUCACAAAUGUGGAAUCCUUGAAACAUAAAAAAAAAUCCACCAUUGGGGCUCGAGAGAUGACUCAGUGGUUAAGAACACUGAUUGCUCGUCCAGAGGUCCUGAGUUCAAUUCCCAGCAACCACAUGGUGGCUCACAACCAUCUGUAAUAGAAUCUGGUGCCUUCUUCUGGUGUGUCUGAAGACAGCUACAGUGUGUUCAUAUACAUUAAAUAAAUACAUUUUUAAGAAAAGAAUUCACCAUCAUCAUCUCUGAGUUGGUUGAAGGAAGAGUGUUUUUGUUUUAUAAAUGAGAGGAAUCUAGAUCCUAGUGUGUGUAGCCAGUCACAGGGCUGCCAGCCAGUUAGUGGGUAGGUCAAGGUGACCUCCGCUGUUCUAGUUGCCAAGGCAGCUCCCACCAGCACACUCCAUGACCCGCUGAGGUUAAGGGAGUGAAACCAGCCAAGUAUUUUCUCUAAAGUGUGUAAAGUUCUGAGAUGGGAACCGCAGCUGCUGGCCCCAGCUUGGCCUCAAACAGGACUUAAAUCUGUUCGAUGAGCUCUGCCUCCCCGUGAAGCACACACACUAGUUAUAAAGCCCUCAGCAUCCUGAGAGGCUGCAGACCAGCGUUACCUUUGUUGAGAAGACUUUCUGUUCUCCCAGGCUUUUUCCUGAAUAGUUUAUUUCUCCUCUGUGCCAUUUCAAUAAAAUUUGAAAACAUGCACACAGAAUCCAUAGAAUAAACAAAACACACGGGUUUCCUUUCCUUUUGCUGUUAUUUUGUGUGCAUGUAUGUGUGGGGAGCCGCCCUCACAUUCGCCGUUACAAGAUGGCGCCCGUGACGAUAACUCGGCCAAUGGGCUUCGGCCAAUGGGCUGCAGCCAAUCAGGGAGCGACACGUCCUAGGCGGAGGAUAAUUCUCCUUAAAAGGGACGGGGUUUUGCCAUUCUCUCUCUUGCUCC
rnacentral:lncRNA from 1 species